ACGUAGAAUUUUAUACAUGUUGAACCUCUAUGGUGAUCAAUAUUAUCAAACGAACUAGCUUUAACAAGUUACAUGGAAAAUUCCACGAAGAAUGUUUUUUAACGCUUUAACAGGUCAAAUGUGCCAUAUCUGUUAAAUGCUAACCACCACAUAGUAAAUCUAUGAAUGGGUAUUUACUAUUUGCAUAAACUCUGUGCAAAACAACAUUGUUUUAAUUUAUUAUUUACUUUAACUUUGUGAAAUUCACAGUGUGAAACCAUUACAUUUUUUUUUAUUGAAUUUCACAGUUUUAGAAAUUAGAACCCCCUAAGGCCUAAACCAAAAGGCAUUACAAAAAAAACAACAAAAGACGUUUUAUUAUCCGAUCUCCGUUGUUUAACUUUUUCAUUCUUUUUGAAUUUGAAGUAACUUAAGAAAGUAACGAACGACGUGUCAUCAUGUCAUGUCUGUGACCAGCUGUGACUGUGCAACUAACUUAAGAUUCAAAACUCAUUACUAGAUGUCGCCAGUGUCACCCAUGUUGUUCUGAUAUCGUGAAACGAGGCGAAACAAAUUGUAGCUAAUUUAUACUUAUAUUCCUGUGAUUUCAAUUACCAAAUUGAGCUUCGUAUCAUAUAUGCAUACUGUCAGUCAUUCCAAAAAGUUGACUUAGCGCUCAGUCAAUUUCCAUCCAUGAGGCCCAUCAUAUGCUGUCUAAAGCCCAUUACUGCUACAAGACCAUUACAAUUCAGAUUUUCAUAUAACAUAGUCGCGUACCCUGCAACAGCAUCUUUGUUGUUAUGGCUGUUUCUACUUCUGUUUAAAAGGCAACCCAGCUAAGAGAUAGUUUCAGAGACACGAAGAGGGUGAAUUGAUUUGCCAAUUUGCCAUGUAUGUACCAGAUCUGCUUGAUGCCAAAUGCCAAAUGCAAAGCCAAAUGCCUUACUAAAUUCAUCACCCAUAUGAUAAAGCAUCAUCCAGGAAAUUUAUCUCAACAUGUGGAGUAAUGCUGUUGGUUGC